rnacentral:rRNA from 1 species
CAGUAGCCACGGUAAUACGAAGGGUGCAAGCGUUACUCGGAAUUACUGGGCGUAAAGCGUGUGUAGGUGGUUGUUUAAGUCUGUCGUGAAAGCCCUGGGCUCAACCUGGGAAUUGCGAUGGAUACUGGGCGACUAGAGUGCGGUAGAGGAUAGUGGAAUUUCCGGUGUAGCAGUGAAAUGCGUAGAGAUCGGAAGGAACAUCUGUGGCGAAGGCGACUAUCUGGGCCAACACUGACACUGAGACACGAAAGCGUGGGGAGCAAACAGGAUUAGAUACCCCAGUAGUCCCUGUCUCUUAUAC